rnacentral:lncRNA from 10 species
UCAUGGCGGGUUAAUCCUAUGGCGGAGUCUUGAAAGUCAUUCCUGGAGGGCAAGUGUCAACCUAUCCUCAUUGCAAGUAAGAAAAACCACCCUAGGAGUUGAAGAAAUAAGAGAGAUUACCAGCAGGUGAACCCAUUCACCACAGCUAAGAAACUUCUCCUGGGAAGUAAAGUUAUUAAAGUUUGAUGUACUUGACAAUUUGAGGGGGGGGAAAAGUGCUGCUGUUUCUUGAGGCAGCAACAAAUCACCACCGCCCGCGGUAAUGAUAGGCCUUCUCCUCCUCAGAGCUGAGAAAGACAAUCACAUAAAGAAAUGCAUCAGCAGAGUGGGUGAGAAAAAAUGACUCAGGUGGCUGAAAGACCUAGAAGACAAGAAUCUUUUACAAUUUACAAGAGGUGGAAUAUGCAGGAAUAACUUCAGUGAUAAUAAGCAAGAUAUGUUAAAUAGUAAAAUCUCAAAAUGCUAUAGUCAGAAGCAGUAUUUUAGAUAAUCACAAGGAAUAAAAUGAAGUAGAAAAUAAGUUUACAUGAAUGGGGAGCCAUUCAUUCAAUCCCAUCUAGAUGCCACUCUUCCUAGAAAAAUGUAGAGCUCAACCUUCCCAUAGCUUCAGCUGUUCACUGUUAACUGGGAACCCCCAAGUGCUGGGAAAAACAGAUCCUUUUCCUAUCAUGUGGUAAGUAACUAGUGUCAGACAUUCUGUAGAGCAUACUGGAAGAAGAAAGUCUCUUUUGAAAUUGAGGGAAUACAGACACUAUAUCACGAUUGAACUGUGAGAAAUUUCAGACCAGACAUUUAGUAUUCUCUACAACCAUCCUAAGUUCAGAAUAGAUCUAACACAAGAACACAGAGGAGAAAUCAGCAGAACAUAGACAACAAAGGUGGAGACAAGUGGUCCAAUAAGGCCCGAGUCAGACCUGAUGAAGCAUCUUAGCUAAUGACCUAAAGAUAAGUUAUUCUGCUUGUUAUAUAUUCAUUUAUGUUGUUUGUUGAAUAUUGACCCAUACUAAUGGUGACAAUGGAAUAAAUGGAAUGUGGGAACUUGUUCAUAUUGCAAAAGUACUCAUUUUCAGUGAGCAACUUUGGCCACCUUUUACUGAGGAAUGAGGGACCUCAGAGUAGACACUUGACUUACCUACUGAUUUACACUAGGCCCUUGUCUUAUUGCAUUUUACUUUUCUUUUUCAUCCCCACCCCUGCUCUCAUCACCCUCCUUCUCUCCUAUAGACACCCACUCUAAUGAAUUUGAUACUUCUUAAAUAUGCAUCAGUGUAAAAAUAGUUUUGUAAGUACAUGUGUGUUCAAUUUGAAUAAAGGUUCUUAUGCCUUGUUUCUUCUGCUGCUUUUUACUAUUUCUUUUUGUCUUCUUUUUUCACUAUGUACUGUGCUAUUAACAUUUCUCUAUGUAGCUGUAUAUAUUAUUACAUGAUAGAUGCAUAUAUACACAUUAUAAUAUUACUGCAUAGCAUUCCACGGAAUGCAUUAUCCUCUUUUCAC